AGGGUUUGAUCCUGGCUCAGAAUGAACGCUGGCGGCGUGCCUAACACAUGCAAGUCGUACGAGAAAUCCCGAGCUUGCUUGGGAGAGUAAAGUGGCGCACGGGUGAGUAACGCGUGGGUAACCCACCUUCGAAUCUGGGAUAACUCCGCGAAAGCGGUGCUAAUACCGGAUAAGACCACAGCCGUUUCGGCGGCAGAGGUAAAAGCUGACCUCUCCAUGGAAGUUAGCGUUCGAGGACGGGCCCGCGUCCUAUCAGCUUGUUGGUGGGGUAAAGGCCUACCAAGGCAGCGACGGGUAGCUGGUCUGAGAGGAUGAUCAGCCACACUGGAACUGGAACACGGUCCAGACUCCUACGGGAGGCAGCAGUGAGGAAUUUUGCGCAAUGGGGGAAACCCUGACGCAGCAACGCCGCGUGGGUGAAGAAGGCUUUCGGGUCGUAAAGCCCUGUCAGGUGGGAAGAACCGUUUCGAUACUAAUAAUGUCGAAGCCUGACGGUACCACCAGAGGAAGCACCGGCCAACUCCGUGCCAGCAGCCGCGGUAAUACGGAGGGUGCAAGCGUUGUUCGGAAUUAUUGGGCGUAAAGAGCGUGUAGGCGGUUCGGUAAGUCAGAUGUGAAAGCCCUGGGCUCAACCCAGGAAGUGCAUUUGAAACUACCAGACUUGAGUACGGGAGAGGAGGGGGGAAUUCCCGGUGUAGAGGUGAAAUUCGUAGAUAUCGGGAGGAAUACCAGUGGCGAAGGCGCCCCUCUGGACCGAUACUGACGCUGAGACGCGAAAGCGUGGGGAGCAAACAGGAUUAGAUACCCUGGUAGUCCACGCCGUAAACGAUGAGCACUAGGUGUAGCGGGUAUUGACCCCUGCUGUGCCGUAGCUAACGCAUUAAGUGCUCCGCCUGGGGACUACGGUCGCAAGACUAAAACUCAAAGGAAUUGACGGGGACCCGCACAAGCGGUGGAGCAUGUGGUUUAAUUCGA
rnacentral:rRNA from 1 species